rnacentral:rRNA from 1 species
CACGUAGGGCGCGAGCGUUGUCCGGAAUUAUUGGGCGUAAAGAGCCCGUAGGCGGUUUGUCGCGUCUGUCGUGAAAGCUUGGGGCUUAACCCCAAGUCUGCGGUGGAUACGGGCAGACUAGAGGCAGGUAGGGGAGAACGGAAUUCCCGGUGUAGCGGUGAAAUGCGCAGAUAUCGGGAGGAACACCGGUGGCGAAGGCGGUUCUCUAGUACGGUACUGACGCUGAGACGCGAAAGCGUGGGGAGCGAACAGG